rnacentral:rRNA from 1 species
GUAAACGGCGGCCGUAACUAUAACGGUCCUAAGGUAGCGAAAUUCCUUGUCGGGUAAGUUCCGACCUGCACGAAUGGCGUAACGAUCUCCACACUGUCUCGGCCAGAGACUCGGUGAAAUUGAAGUCGCGGUGAAAAUGCCGUGUACCCGCAGAAAGACGGAAAGACCCUGUGCACCUUUACUAUAGCUUGACAUUGGGAUUUGAGCCUGCAUGUGUAGCAUAGGUGGGAGCCUGUGAACCCUGUACGCCAGUAUGGGGGGAGGCAACGUUGAAAUACCACCCUUGUUUGUUCAGGUCCCUAACUCUUCGCCGUAAUCCGGUAAGAGGACAGUGUCUGGUGGGUAGUUUGACUGGGGCGGUCGCCUCCCAAAAUGUAACGGAGGCAUGCAAAGGUUCCCUCAGGCUGAUUGGAAACCAGCCGUCGAGUGCAAACGCAAAAGGGAGCUUGACUGCAAGAGAGACAUCUCGAGCAGGUACGAAAGUAGGUGUUAGUGAUCCGGUGAUCCCGAAUGGAAGGGUCAUCGCUCAUUGGAUAAAAGGUACGCCGGGGAUAACAGGCUGAUCGCAUCCAAGAGUUCACAUCGACGAUGCGGUUUGGCACCUCGAUGUCGGCUCAUCACAUCCUGGGGCUGAAGCAGGUCCCAAGGGUACGGCUGUUCGCCGUUUAAAGUGGUACGCGAGCUGGGUUUAAAACGUCGUGAGACAGUUUGGUCCCUAUCUUCUGUGGGCGUAGGAGAAUUGAAAGGGCCUGUCCCUAGUACGAGAGGACCGGGAUGGACACACCACUGGUGGACCUGUUGUCGUGCCAACGGCACAGCAGGGUAGCUAUGUGUGGAAGGGAUAACCGCUGAAAGCAUCUAAGCGGGAAGCCUGCCUUAAGAUAAGUUCUCCCUGACGCAAGUCCUGAAGGGCCGAGGUAGACGACCUCGUUGAUAGGCUGGAGGUGGAAGCCCUGUGAGGGGUGGAGCUGACCAGUACUAAUAGCCCGUGCGUCUUGUUUUU